rnacentral:rRNA from 1 species
UACGAAGGGGACUAGCGUUGUUCGGAAUCACUGGGCGUAAAGCGCACGUAGGCGGAUAUGUCAGUCAGGGGUGAAAUCCCGGGGCUCAACCUCGGAACUGCCUUUGAUACAGCAUGUCUUGAGUCCGAUAGAGGUGGGUGGAAUUCCUGGUGUAACGGUGAAAUGUGUUGAUAUCAGGAGGAACACCCAUGGCGAAGGCAGCAAACUGGGCAUCAACUGACGCUGAGGCGCGAAAGCGUGGGUAGCAAACAGG